rnacentral:tRNA from 1 species
GGCUUCGUCGCCGACGAGGAGUCGCUGGCGGCCGCCGCCAUGGCGGCGCAGGCGGCGGCGGUGGCCGCCGCAGAGCGGCUCGGCGCCGCGCGGCGCCGCCA